rnacentral:rRNA from 1 species
AUUGAACGCUGGCGGCAGGCCUAACACAUGCAAGUCGAGCGAGCGGCGGACGGGUGAGUAAUGUAUGGGGACUGCCCGAUAGAGGGGGAUAACUACUGGAAACGGUGGCUAAUACCGCAUACUAUCGGAUAACCCAUAUGGGAUUAGCUAGUAGGUGGGGUAAAGGCUCACCUAGGCGACGAUCUCUAGCUGGUCUGAGAGGAUGGGUGGCCACACUGGGACGGAGACACUUGCCGGACGCCUAAGGAGGCAGCAGUGGGGAAUAUUGCACAAGGGGCGCAAGCCUGAUGCAUCCAUGCCGCGUGUAUUAAGAAGGCCUUAGGGGUGUAAAGGACUUUCAGCGGGGAGGCGUUACCCGCAGAAGAAGCACCGGCUAACUCCGUGCCAGCAGCCGCGGUAAUUC